rnacentral:rRNA from 1 species
AUGGAGGUGCCGCCGGAGAUGCUCGACACCCUAGCGGGCUGGUUCGCGCAGACGCUCUCCCCCGACGCCGCCGCCCGCCGCGCCGCCGAGCAGAGCCUCGCCGCCGCGGCCGCCACCCCGGGCUUCGCGCUCGCGCUCCUCGGCCUCGCCUCCUCCCCGCGCCACGACCUCCAGGCCCGCCUCGCCGCCUCCGUCCACUUCAAGAACCUCCUCCGCCGCCGCUGGCCCAAGCCCGCCGACGACGCCGACGACGCCGACCACCUCCCGCCCAACGACUGCGUCAUCAUCAAGACGCACAUCCUCCAGCUCCUACUCACCGCCCCGCCGCUCAUCCAGUCGCAGCUCUCCGAAGCCCUCGCCGCCGCCGCGGCCUCCGACUUCCCUGCCAGAUGGGAGUCGCUCCUCCCGUCUAUAGUCUCCUCGCUCGGUAACGCCCUCUCGGCGGGGGACGUCCCCGCCACCAACUCCCUCCUCGCCGCUGCGGUCUCCCUCUUCUCCCGCUUCCGCAACGUCUUCGACAGCAACACCCUCCGCAUCGACCUCAAGUACUGCCUAGACACUUUUGCGGCGCCCCUCCUCGAGGUCUUCCUCUCCACCUCUCGCCGCCUUCAGGCCUCUGCAGCCGCCGCAAGCCCACUUGAACUGCGCCCCGUAUUUGAGUGCCUUCGUCUGUGCUGCGAGAUCUUCUACUCGCUCAACUCUGUGGACCUGCCCGAGUUCUUCGAGGAUCACAUGCGUGAGUGGAUGACAGAGUUCCGUGCAUUCCUCACCACCUCCUACCCUCCGCCUGUCGAGGCAGAUGGUGCUCCAGAUGCGCUCCGAGCUGCUGUGUGUGAUAACCUGCAGCUGUACAUGGAGAAGUAUGAGGAAGAGUUCAGGGCAUAUUUGAAGGAGUUUGUUGAGGCCGUGUGGGGGCUCCUCAUGGCGCCGACAGUCUCGCCGUCCCGUGGUCAGCUUGCCGUGACUGCUAUAAGGUUCUUGACAACAGUCGCCGAGAGUGUUCACCAUGCUUUGUUCGGGACUCCUGAUGCAAUGAAACAGAUAUGUGACAGUGUUGUUGUGCCUAACCUGCGACUGCGGGAGGAGGAUGAGGAGUUGUUUGAGGGCAACUGGGUGGAAUAUGUCAGGCGUGAUGCAGAGGGAAGUGAUACGGAUACACUGAGGCGUGCUGCAUGCCGCUUGCUGCGGGGGCUAGCCGCGAACUACCGGGAACAGGUGGCUGUUCUUGUAUCAGCACAGGUCCAGCAGAUGUUGGCUGCAUAUGCGGCUGACAGGGCAAACAACUGGAAGGAGAAGGACGCUGCGAUAUAUCUUGUUAUCGCUCUUAUGCAGAAGCCUGGUGCCACAGGUGGUGGGACACCUGUGGUUGACAUGGAGAGAUUCUUUGCAUCUGUGAUUGUGCCCGAGCUGCAGGCCCCUGAUUGGGAAUCUGAGCCAAUGCUGAAGGCAACAGUCCUCAGGUUCUUGAAGGAGUUCAAGGAUCAGAUACCCAAAGCCACUGCACUAGCUCUGCUUCCAAGUGUGACAAGGUUCCUGACGCAUGAGUCCAAUGUUGUCCAUUCCUAUGCUGCGAUCUUUAUUGAGAACCUGCUGAUCACCAAGGAUGUUGUCCAGGUACCAGGGGUCAAUGUGGUGACAAGAGCUUCACGCUAUGUUGCUGCUGAUAUCAACUCUUUUGCCCAGCAGAUUAUUCAGAGCCUGUCCAAGGCGUUAGGUUAUCCUGAUUCUUAUGAGAACCCCUAUCUGAUGAAGUGCCUGAUGAGAGUGCUUGGGAUUGCAACUAUCGCUGGCCAAGUUGUUCAUGAGAUAACCGCUCGUCUUGUCGGCAUUCUGAUGGAAGUGUGCAAUAACCCCAAGAACCCUGACUUUAAUCAUUACUUGUUUGAAGCUCUGGCAGCAGUGAUUGGCAAGGCUGGUGAACAAGACCCAGCGUUGGUACCUUUGUUUGAGGCAAGCCUCUUCCCAGUGCUCCAGAGGAUAUUAGUUGAGGACAUCUCAGAGUUCUGGCCAUAUUCUUUUCAGAUAUUCGCACAGCUUGUCAAUUUGAGCAGACCACCUCUCUCGCAGAAUUACAUGCAGCUGUUUGGUGUCUUGCUCAGCAAUGCUACUUGGGAUCGACCACCAUGUGUUCCUGCCUUGGUUCGCUUGCUGCGAGCAUUCCUUCGGAAAAUUCCAAAUGAGCUUAACCAAGAAGGUAGGCUGCCAAAUAUCUUAGUGAUAUUCCGUAGUCUAGUUUCACGCAGCAGCACGGAAGAUUCUGCAUUCUACAUGCUUAACACACUAGUGGAAAAUGUUGGUUUGGACAUUAUCAAUCCACACAUAAGUGAGAUAUGGAGUGCUCUCUUUACUCGCUUACAGACUAGGCAAGCAGUGAAGUUUGUGAAUUCUCUUGUGGUGGUCAUGUCCUUGGUGUCAGUCAAGUAUGGGCCAGGUGUUCUUGUCAGUUCUGUUGAUACGAUUCAGCCAAAUCUCUUCACCACAAUUCUUCAGCGUUUUUGGAUUCCCAAUCUCAAGUUGAUCAAAGGUUCUCUUGAAAUCAAGCUUACAGCAGUUGCCUCAACAAAGUUGCUUUGUGAGUCCGCGGUGCUGCUGGAUGCUGCUGCAGCCCAAACGUGGGGUAAAUUGCUUGAUAGCAUUGUCACACUGUUGUCUAGAACGGAGCAAGAUGGAGUACAACAAGAGCAAAAUGACGGAGCUGAUGCGGUGGAUAGUCAGAGGACAUCAGGUUAUUCUGUCUCAUUUGUACGCCUUCAAUAUGCUGGGAAGAGUGAAGAUGAUCUGUUGAAAGACAUAAAUGAUCCAAAGCAGUUUCUGGUAACAUCCUUGGCCUCGCUUUCUGCACAGUCUCCUGGAAGGUUUGGUCCUAUCAUUGAGCAGCAUGUGGACCCAGCAAACAAAAGUGCUCUUCUUCAGCUUUGUGCUGCCUAUAAUGCCAACAUCGUCUAG